GGCGCUAUAGCCAAGUGGUUACGGCGACAGAUUAGAAUUAUACCAUGUUAUCUGUUCCUCUUUGAGGGCGCAAGUUCAAAUCUUGCUGGCGUCG